UACUCCGAUAGACCUUGCACCACUGGCA
rnacentral:piRNA from 1 species